rnacentral:rRNA from 1 species
GACAGAGGUGCCAAGCGUUAGGCGGAAUCACUGGGCUUAAAGCGUGUGUAGGCGGAUCGUUAAGUACCUUGUGAAAUCCCACGGCUUAACCGUGGAACGGCUCGGUAUACUGGCGGUCUUGAGCAACCUAGGGGCGAGCGGAACAAAUGGUGGAGCGGUGAAAUGCGUAGAUAUCAUUUGGAACGCCGAAGGUGAAAACAGGCUGCUGGGGUUGCGCCGACGCUGAGACACGAAAGCCAGGGGAGCAAACGGG